AGCAAUUCCUGGUUUAGAGAAACUGAAGGAAUUAAUCUUAGAGAAAAACACUGGAAAUCUUGCUAACACAGUACUUAAAAGUAUAUAGUUGGUGGUUAAACUUAUGAGUGAAUGGAAAAACCGGGAGAGUCAAGGGUAAACAGAACUCUCCAAGUCUACUUCUGUCACAGCCACAUCUGGUUGUAAAUAAAGUCCUUCUUUACUUGACUUUGGGCAAUGGGCAUCAAAAGCCUCAAGAGAACAAUUUCUCUGAUAAGAUUAUUUUCUACCAGGGGUCAGAAGACUCCAUUCACAGGCCAAGUUUGGCCCACUCUUUUUUUGUAUGGGGCAAACUAAAAUGGUUUUUUACAUUUUUAAGAGGUUAUAAAAGAAAGACAUUCAUGAUCGAGACCAUAUGUGGCCUAUAAAACCUAGUAUUUGGAGAAAGUUUGUUGACUUUUGUAUCAUUAGCUACCUUUGUGCAGAAGAAAAACAUGGUUAAGGAAAGGAGAUGUGCUGCCUCUUUGUCCUGCAACCAUGGCAUUGCAAAAAUAACCACCUUUUUCUUUUUUUAAAAUAAACUUUAUUUAAGUCAGUG
rnacentral:lncRNA from 1 species